rnacentral:rRNA from 1 species
GAGGGUGAGUGCGUGCUUCUGGCUACCCAUGUCGACCGCGGAUUUUCUUUGCCGCCGAGUGUUUUCUUCCGUGGUUUCUUGAACUUCUUUGGAGCGCAACUCCACCACUUCACCCCGAAUUCUAUCGCCUAUCUUGCCGCGUUUGUGUCCAUGUGUGAGAGUUUUCUGGGUUGUCGACCGCAUUGGGGCUUGUUCAAGCACAUAUUCACGUGUCGCUCUCAGACCGUGAAGAAGGCGAGCCCAGGCGACGAAAAAACCCAAGUUGUCCAAAUGUGUGGGGGUUUGGGGAUCCAGGUGAGGAACAAGAGCACCUUCCCAGCCAUGACAUUUCCUGAGUCAGUCAGAGGCUGGCAGUCGACCUGGUUCUACUGCCAGGAUCAGCCGACGCCGGGGCAGUCGAGUGGACUCCCUCGGUUCACCAUGGGCCGAGUGAACAAGCCCUCCUCUCUGAAGGUGAUUCCGGAGGAGAAAGCUGACGUGAAGAUG